CACAGUAUAUAUAUAGUAGUAUUUGGCGGUGUUGAUGCAUUGUUGUACUGGACACUGAAGAGAACAUGGAACCAACAGCAACUGACGAAAUGGGCGGCGAGGAUAGCACGUCAGACAGUUCAACGCCACAUAAAAAGGAACAAUGGGGUAACAAACUGGACUUCUUUCUGUCAGUGCUUGGUCUCGUGGUCGGGUUUGGCAAUGUUUGGAGAUUCCCUUAUGUUUGUAUGAAGAAUGGAGGAGGCGCCUUCCUGUUACCAUACCUCAUCACUAUUUUCCUGCUAGCCAUACCUGUUUAUUUCAUGGAAGCAGCCCUCGGACAGUUUUCCGGUAGGACUAUGCGGGAUGUUUGGAUCUUUUGUCCUCUUAUACAAGGCUUGGGAUUGGGGCUGUUCCUGCUUAUGGUGCUCUGUGUGUGGUACUACAUUAUGCUGACCACCUGGGUGGUUUAUUAUCUGUACCAGUCCUUCACCUUUCCGCUGCCAUGGAGUACUUGCAAUAACGAGUGGAACACGCCCGACUGCUUCAGUUUCCUUGACGCGAGGGCGCCGAACACAACACUUCUAAACUCUCCACUGACCAACGGGACACUGUUCAACGCCACGUUUUUGUCCAACAUGACAGACAGAUUCAGUGACAACCUUACCGGAAUGACAUUUCUGGAGGGGCACAGCUCUGAAGAAGAAUUUUGGCAGUACAAAGUAUUGGACAUCUCUUCUGGGUUUCUUGACUUCGGCUCUAUCAAGGGUCACCUAGCCUUAUGUCUGCUGAUAACCUGGAUAAUCGUCUACCUGUGUGUCAUCAAGGGGAUUAGGUCUACAGGCAAGGUUGUGUAUGUGACAGCCACGCUUCCAUACAUCCUACUCGCCGUCAUCCUCGUUCGCAGUCUAACACUUCCAGGAUCUGUGGAUGGCGUUAUUUUUUUCCUUAAGCCAGACUUUUCGUCGCUGCUCAAUAGCCAGGUGUGGGUACAGGCGGCUGUACAGGUAUUCUACUCGAUGGGUAUUGGAUGGGGUAUCCACAUCACCUUAUCCAGCUUCAACAAGUUCAACAAUAACUGUUACACAGACGCCUUCAUGCUGACAAUAAUCGGGGAAGCGACGAGUGUUUUUGCGGGAUUGGUCGUAUUUUCUGCUCUAGGAUUCAUGGCCCACAAAGCUCAGAUGCCUGUUGCUGAUAUUGUUAAAUCUGGUCCCGGUCUCGGUUUCAUCGCCUACCCUCAGGCCCUGGCACAGAUGCCCUUUUCCAACGUGUGGGCAGUGUUGUUUUUUCUUGCCCUUUUUACCGUGGGUUUGGAUAGCCAGUUCGCCUUCACGGAAACGGUAUGCGUGUACCUGGAGGAUUCCUUCCCUCGGCUGAGCCGUAGGAGAGCGCUAUUCAGGGCCGUCGUGGCCGCUCUCGGCUUCCUGAUCAGUCUGGUGUUUUGUACUAGGGGAGGAGUGUACCUGUUCCAGUUAGUCGACUGGUACUGCGCCGCUUUUUCGCCCAUUUUGUUUACACUGAUCACGUGUAUUACAGUCUGUUGGGUGUAUGGUAAUGUUCGAGCAGCUGGCACUAGUCUACCAGGUCCAACACACACGUCCGCAUGCCCAGACUCGUGCAUUUCACUGUAUAACUACAUCAGAUUUUAUCUACAUUCAGUGUUCCUGUGCAUGUGAACUUGGUGUACCCCUGGUAAGACUAGUACCAGCUUUACGGAGUUAGUGAACUUGUAAGCAUACCGAAGCGCGGACGCGGGACGUUCGGGCACAAAAACCUCUGUUUUAGUGCAACACGCAGCGAGUUGUAAAUUAAUUUCGGUACGUGAAUCACUAAACCCUAUAACACAGAAAAUAUAUCCUCAUCUUAUGGCGCGUGAAUAACAGGUGUGAAAGACAUUUUACUCCAGAUAGCUGAUAAACUAUCAAAAGAUCACAUGGAAGUAAUAACUUUGUUUGAACUAAAAAUCCACACUGAUUCUCUAUCACAUUUCCAUCACUUGACAUGUUCACCUAAAUUGUACUUACUUCCACACGUGUAACUCACCAGACAUUAAGAUGAGGAUAAACUUUCCUGUAUAGUCGAACUUUGAAUUAAUUUAUAUCAUCCCGUAUUUUUCAGGCUAGCAAGAAAUAACAGCUCUAUGUUGGUAGGAAUCAGACAAAAUUAAUCACAUUGCUCUCUGGUUAAAUCUAUGUCGUAUACACAGAAACAACAAUUGACAUGUCGUCGUUAACUGGCCGGUGCCUUGAAACAAUACAGUUUAUCAGAGCACAAUGUGAUGAAAAUUGACUCUUUUUUUCAUUUCAAAUUAUAUUCAUCAAAUUAGAUUUAAAAGUGUUUGAUAUUCUAAUUGCAAUUGAAACUCACAUUUAAAAUGCUGACAUGCAAUGAUCCAUGUGUCAUUUAUGUUUACGGCAGUACAGUGCUGAUUGCACUACUGUUUCGGACCUGCUUUUGAUUUAUUUGCUAUUUCUUGUUAGUCUGAUCAACCUACUUUGUUCAGCACGCGCUAUCCUGACCGAGGUGGUUUGGGCUUUCUACAAAGGUAUCAUUUUGCUUAGCAAUUCAGUUACAUGUAUGUAUCUGUACAUUUGUCAAGUUGGUUGUGACAUGAAUUCUCCCACACUUCACAAGUGUUUUCCUGAUUUCGCUCAGAAAAAAGAUCAGAGUGUCUUUUCUUGCCUAAGAAAAACAGUUCACACGCGCUAUUAUUCUAAAACGUCAUCAUCAUGUCAUCACUUUAUAUAACCUGUAAUCGUGUUAGCGUCAUCAAUUUUGUCACACAUUCCAAACCUAUAACGAUGAUUGGAUUCACCAUUACAACAUACAUCGACCACAGGAAAAUAACUGGUCACUCGUGUGUGUUGUAGAAUGAAAUCUCAACAUUCGGGAUACGAUUUUUGAAGUUUAGCAUUCGGCAAAGCUUUGUAAAAAAAUAUAUCUCGAUUUACAUUACACAAGAGUAAUACAUAUUUAUUUAAAAUCAAUGGGGUUCCAAAUUGUGAAAUAAGAUAUGUAAAAAUAUGGUGGUGUGAUAACUUUCGAAGAGACUGGAGAUACCAUGUACGUGUCUCAGCCGACAACUUUUAAUGUACAUGUAUUUAAUAUGAUGUCAUCAUAAAAACAAAUGGAUUCUUCAUUUCAAACAAAAUAACUUGUAUCACAUGUUAUUUUAACAGGUUUCUGCAUGUAAGGUAAUUGAUGUUCAAACGAGUCACACCAAAAAAUCAACGAACCGGUAACACGCUAUAUAAAACUGUGUGGUAUCAUCUCAAUGUUGUUAAGGUGUACGGUAUCGUCAACUGUAAAGGUGAAUGAUAUCAGGGACUGUGUGGUAUAUUGCCAUGUUAAGGUGUGGUAUAAUGCCCUGUAAAGUUGUGAUAUAACGCCAUGUAUAGGUGUGGUAUAACACAAUGUAUAGGUGUGGUAUACCGUCUUGUAAAGUUGUGGUUAGGUAGGAAUAACGCCCUAUAGAGAUGUGGUAUAACACCUUGUUUACGCUCUGUAACGGUGUGGUAUAACGCCCUGUAUAUGUUUGGUUUAACGCCCUGUAAAGGUGUGGUAUAACGCCCUGUAGAUGUUUGGUAAUAUGCCCUGUAAAGUUGUGGUAUAAAGCUCUGUAAAUUUGUGGUAUAACGCCCUUUAGAUGUUGGGUAAUAUGUCCUGUAAAGGUGUGGUAUAACGCCCUGUAGAUGUGUGGUACAGCGCCCUCUAAAGUUGUUGUAUAAUGCCAUGAAGAGGUGUGGUAUAACGCCAUGAAGAGGUGUGGUAUAACGCCCUGAAGAGGUUUGGUAUAACGCCCUUUAAAGGUGUGCUAUAAAACCAUGUUAAGAUGUGAUAUAGUGCCGUGUAAAAUAGUGAUAUGACGCCCUAUUUAUGUAUAUGGCAUUAUGCCCUGUAAAGACGUUUGUAAUCUGAACCUUAUCGAUUCAAUAAUUGGUUGUCUGGAAAAGCAUAAUCACGUUCCAUUGACCUCGAUUUUGACAUCGAUGUUGAUGUUUACAAUUUGCCUGCAGUGUCUAUUAACCUCUCAAAUCACCCUAGCAUGUCAGUCUAUAUACAUAUAUAAUUUGGCCUGGUACUGGGAUCAAACGUUGAUGAUAGUAAAGACAGAAUUUGUUCGGAGGAAAUCAAUUAAAGAAAUUAACUUGCUUUUAAGUAUUUUCCUUGAGUGAAUAGUAUUAACUCGUGAUUCUAUUGACAAUGUUAAAUACACACCAUAAUAUAACAUGUGGUCGCUGACAACAGCGAUUUCACAAGUUCAAUGUAAGUAAGAAUACUCAGUAUAAUCUAUCAUAUUUGGUAGUUCGUUGUCCAGUGUCCCAAACACUUUGUCGCACUGUACCACGUGAUAAUGUCUACAAUGUAGCACAUGACAUUCAACCAAGUAAUCGUUGUAUAAUGAGCCAUGUGACUGUUGGAACAUUAUACCACGUGAUCACAAUGUAGCGUCAUGUGGCCACUGUAACACGAUGGCGGGCUAAAUGAAAUUUCUUUCCUCAUACAGGUGCCGACCGAUUCUGUCACGAUAUAGAGAUGAUGAUUGGACGGACUGUGCCGUUCUAUAUACGUUUCUGCUGGUGCUUCCUGGCGCCCCUUC